GCCUACGGGGCGCAGCAGUAGGGAAUCUUCCACAAUGGGCGAAAGCCUGAUGGAGCAACGCCGCGUGGGUGAAGAAGGUCUUCGGAUCGUAAAACCCUGUUGUUAGAGAAGAAAGUGCAUGAGAGUAACUGUUCACGUUUCGACGGUAUCUAACCGGAAAGCCACGGCUAACUACGUGCCAGGAGCCGCGGUAAUACGUAGGUGGUAAGCGUUAUCCGGAUUUAUUGGGCGUAAAGGGAACGCAUGCGGUCUUUUAAGUCUUAUGUGAAAGCCUUCGGCUUAACCGGACUAGUG
rnacentral:rRNA from 1 species